CCUUCGAUAGCUCAGUUGGUAGAGCGGUGGACUGUAGUAAGACUAAUAGACUGGAUAUCCAUAGGUCGCUGGUUCAAAUCCGGCUCGAAGGA